ACACAAGGCUCGAUACGAGCCUUUGGCAAUACUUGGCCAGCCUCCUCGUGUGCGUACAUGUGUGUAGUGCACGCCGGCCGGAUUAAUCAGCCGGUUGCUAGAUACGUGCGUGUUCGGCGUAGGAGUUCGUGUACGAGUGCAACUCGCCGGGCUACGUAGCUAGCUGUGCUAGCUUCGAUCGAUCGGGACGGAUCGAGCCAGCUUGGGGCAGAAACCAAGACUGUCGGCAAGUUCUUCAUCGUCGUUGUUCGUCGUCGGGCGUUCGCGUGUCGUCAAAAAGUACUCGGCGUGCACGGUUUGGGCCAACAAUCAAUUCAAUGGAGCGAAUGUUGGAUAUGUAUUCAAAGGAUAGCCAAGAAGAAGACAUGAUUCCCAUGUAACCUCUGACACAAAGUGCUCUUAAGAUGGCAUUUGGUUGUAACGCUUCAAACACGCUUUCAUGGUCACUGUUGGUGCUGUGUUUGAGAUGAUUCCACCAGAGUGCUAGCUUGUUCAGGUUCUUCUUAUCAAAUAAUCUUGCCUCAUUUGCUUCCUUGCUGCAUCUUACAUUCUGAAGAUUUAUUAUGGAUAGCAUCGCUAGAAGUUCAUUCAACUC